rnacentral:rRNA from 1 species
GACGAACGCUGACGGCGUGCUUAACACAUGCAAGUCGAAGGGAGCGGCGAACGGGUGAGUAACACGUGGGUAACCUGCCGUUUUCUUUGGGAUAAGCCUGGGAAACUGGGUCUAAAACUGGUAGGAUUGGGAUGGGCUCGUGGCUUGUCGGCUGGUUGGUGGGGUGAUGGCUUACCAAGGCUUCGACGGUUGGCCGGCCUGAGCGGGUGGUCGGUAACACUGGGACGGCGCUGCCGCCCAGUCUACUACGGGGGGGAGAAGUGGGGGCUAUUGCACAAUGGACGAAAGACUGAUGCCGCGUGUGCGUGUGGGGGAUGAAGGCCUUCGAGUUGUAACCGCCUUUCGGCCGCGGAAUGGUAGUGGGUAAAGAAGCGCCGGCUAACUACGUGCCAGCAGCCGCGGUAAUAC